rnacentral:rRNA from 1 species
GAUGAACGCUGGCGGUAUGCUUAGCACAUGCAAGUCGAACGGUACCUUCGGGUAUAGUGGCGGACGGGUGAGUAACGCGUGAGAAUCUAUCUUCAGGUCGGGGACAACAGUUAGAAAUGACUGCUAAUACCGGAUGUGCCGAAAGGUAAAAGAUUUAUUGCCUGAAAAAGAGCUCGCGUCAGAUUAGCUAGUAGGUGGUGUAAGAGACUACCUAGGCUUCGAUCUGUAGCUGGUCUGAGAGGACGAUCAGCCACACUGGAACUGAGACACGGUCCAGACUCCUACGGGGGGCAGCAGUGGGGAAUUUUCCGCAAUGGGCGAAACCCUGACGGACCAAUCCCGGGUGGGGGACGAAGGCUUUGGGGUCGUAAACCUUUUUUCCCAAGGAAGAUUCAGACGGUACUGGGGGAAUAAGCAGCGGCUAACUCUGU